AUCUCCAUUCCACCUUACUACUACUCAUCAUCGAUUUAUUACUACAGAUGAAUCGGUUAAUGCCGCUUCGCGGCAGUGCACCGAGAUUUAUAUGAUUUCGACCAUUCUAAUUUUUGGCCCACGCAUUUAAGUUAAAUUUGUGGGACAGAUCUUCUGUUAUUUGCACAAUUUUAACGGCCUGACUAUUGCUGAACGGAGGAAGGAAUUUCAUAGCAAGGAAGGGACUAACAGCCUGACUAUUGCUGAACGGAAGACUAAAUUUCAUAGCAUGGAAGGGACUAGAAACAACAUUGUCUUGAUUAACAGAUGUAACCAAAAAUGAAUUAUCGUUAAGGACAUCUCAGCAAGG